rnacentral:rRNA from 1 species
AGGAUUAGAUACCCUGGUAGUCCACGCCCUAAACGAUGUCAACCAGCCGUUGGGUUCAUUUAAGGAUUCAGUGGCGCAGCUAACGCGUUAAGUUGACCGCCUGGGGAGUACGGCCGCAAGGUUAAAACUCAAAGGAAUUGACGGGGGCCCGCACAAGCGGUGGAGCAUGUGGUUUAAUUCGAUGCAACGCGAAGAACCUUACCAGGCCUUGACAUCCUUGAAAUUCCGCAGAGAUGCGGAAGUGCCUUCGGGAAUCAAGAGACAGGUGCUGCAUGGCUGUCGUCAGCUCGUGUCG